GAGUGAAUUCGUACGCGCCUCAAUAUUGUCCGUGUUUGGGCAAGAAACGGGAGCCCGACCUAGCAGUACGGCGGUGGCCUGCCUGGCCGGGCGGCCGGGCUGACCCCCGGCGCGUUCCUCUGUGGGGAUGAGCGGAAGGAAUCACACUGGAAAGAUAAAUCAGAAACUAAUAUGCUUAAUGCUAGCCAGCAAAAGUGAGCCUCUGUUCCUGGCAGGAUCGCUCCAUCCCCGAAUAAACGCGUCAGAGCUCGGUCACAGGUGACAUAAACAAGUUCCUUUUUAGGCUGCAAGGAACUGGGGCAGCUCCCUUGACAUUUGGAUUCGUUCCUCUGGAUUUUGUGCAGUUUGCAAGUUGGUGGGAUGACACAGCAGAGCGGAAACACGGUGCAGGCGCGUGGGUCUGCUCCUAAGGAAGAGCCUGUCUGAGGACCUACCAAAGGCAAAUAGGCCAAGAAGAGCAGCAUAUAUUGCUCAUCUGGCAACGCGGGGUGUCGGCGUCAUCUCUGGAAGAAAGGGGAACCCAGCUUUGCAGAACAGGAGCCCGACGAAAGCAUACGUAAUGAAGGAGUCGUGCUGGAGCAGUGGAGGCAGCAGAAGGAGCCAGAGCGAGCGUCUGGGCGAGCCGACCCCGCGUAUCAGAGAUGCCCUAACAGUGGCCAUCGGAUCAGCUAAUAAUUAA
rnacentral:lncRNA from 1 species